rnacentral:rRNA from 1 species
UACGUAGGGGGCAAGCGUUGUCCGGAUUUACUGGGCGUAAAGAGCGCGUAGGCGGAAGGUUAAGCGUGGCUUGAAAGCCCCCGGCUCAACCGGGGAGGGCGGCUGCGAACUGGCCUUCUUGAGGUCGAUAGAGGAGAGCGGAAUUCCUGGUGUAGCGGUGAAAUGCGCAGAUAUCAGGAGGAACACCGGUGGCGAAGGCGGGUCUCUGGGCAACAACUGACGCUGAGGAGCGAAAGCGUGGGGAGCGAACAGG